rnacentral:lncRNA from 1 species
GCCUCUACUUCCAUCUUUUUGUCGUCGCCAACAUAGAUGUAUCUUUUACCAUCACUUGUUUUUCGACAACUCAGGCAACCCUACAUAAACAUACUGAUGUGAGUUGUUGCACCAGAAUCUAUCUACCAUGUAUGUCUAGGUACCGAAGUUAAAUUAACCUCAAAACAAACUAGAUGAAAAAUAAUACCUUUCUUUACAUGCCAUGCAUGGUAAUUGGUGCAAUUCUUCUUCUUAUGACCUGCAGCUCGACAGAAGAAACAGCCACCUUCAGUUGGUUCCUUAUGUUGUUUUUGCGGUGCUGUACCCGCAGCUUCCUUCUUAAUAUUCAUUUUCUUGUUCCUUUUGUCCUUAGACGUGGUGGCUAAAUGAGCACUUUCUGUCUUCUCAUACUUCAAUCUUUCCUCUUUUUGGAUACAGUGUGAGAUGAGGUCAUUGAGGGACCAUGAGUCCUUUUGAAAAUUGUAGCUCACCUUGAAUUAACUGAAUUGUGCCGGAAGAGAUAUCAGAACCAAGUGCACCAACAAGUCUUCAGAUAAAUCCAACUUGAGUACCUUUAGUUUUGAAGCAAUGUAAGACAUUUCCAUAAUGUACUCCCAAAUGUUUCCUUUCUCUUUAUACCUCAUAGAGACAAGGUUCGUCAAAAGUGUACUUAUUUCAGCCUUUUCAUUCUUGACAAACCUCUUCUCAAUAUCCUCAAGGAAACCCUUAGCCAUAAUCACCUUAUCGAACAUAGUGCCCUGGAAUGCUUCUGGAAUAGCACACUUCAUGACCAUUAAGCUUAUGCGGUUCGAUCGUUCUCAUUUUUUCAUCUCCAUCAUAUCAUCAGAGGUACUCUUAUGAGUAAGUGCAGCGGAUUGAUCGACCCGUAAAACGAGGUCUAGGUUUAUGACUCCGAGAACAAUCAUCACGUUCUCUUGCCAUGCCCUGAUGUUUGUGCCAUGUAACAUUGGAAUUGAAUUGAUGCUAGCAGAGAUAUUAGCACCAAAACUUGAAACUGAAUUAGAGAACGAUUAUUAUGAAUAGCUCACAUGAAUAUCUUUAAUAUGCAAAUAAUAAUAAUUUCAAAUAGUGGUGGGACCCAUCACAAGAUACCAAGCACAACAUCAAUAUCUAGUCUUUGGAUAGAGAUAUUGACUUGUAAGCGUUACUCUUGGCAUAGUGAUCAAACAUUGACGGUAAAACAAUGUAUCAAUCAACAAACCAUUCUUUGGACCGAUUUAUUGAACACAUUAAAUCAAAUAAUCGUCACACGUUUAUCACCACAGAUGCAUGUGUAUUCGGCUAAAUAUUGACCUUCCUUUGGGCCGACUAAUAUUCUUAUGAAUAACACAUGCAAAAACAUCUUUUAAUAUUCUAAGUUAGUUAAUUUCCAUAAGAGAGGUUGCUUUGCCAACAUGUUGCUCCAAUUAACCAACUUUCGAAUAUUACAUAUCUUAAAAGAGUCCUUAGUACCAAAAUUUGAGAAAGAUAAUCACCAAUUUUACAUAUUUUGUUUAGUUUUAAACUUUAGGGGCCUUAGGAUUAAUAAUUCAAAACUUUAGGGGGGCAAAAUUAAUUAAUUCCAAACUUUAGGGGUUGAAAU